AUGCUUGUUUUUGUAGCACAUAUAUUAAAAUUGGAAUGAUACGGAGAAGACUAGCAUGGCCUCUACACAUCAAUGGCGCACAAAAUCAUGAAACUUCCCAUUUUUUU